AUUGAACGCUGGCGGCAGGCCUAACACAUGCAAGUCGAGCGGGGUUUUCGGACCUAGCGGCGGACGGGUGAGUAAUGCGUAGGAAGCUGCCCGAUAGAGGGGGAUACCAGUUGGAAACGACUGUUAAUACCGCAUAAUGUCUACGGACCAAAGUGUGGGACCUUCGGGCCACAUGCUAUCGGAUGCGCCUACGUGGGAUUAGCUAGUUGGUGAGGUAAUGGCUCACCAAGGCGACGAUCUCUAGCUGGUUUGAGAGGAUGAUCAGCCACACUGGAACUGAGACACGGUCCAGACGCUUACGGGAGGCAGCAGUGGGGAAUAUUGGACAAUGGGCGCAAGCCUGAUCCAGCCAUGCCGCGUGUGUGAAGAAGGCCUCCGGGUUGUAAAGCACUUUCAGCGAGGAGGAAGGGUGGUGUGUUAAUAGCACAUCAUUUUGACGUUACUCGCAGAAGAAGCACCGGCUAACUCUGUGCCAGCCGCCGCAGUAA
rnacentral:rRNA from 1 species